GUUUCAGAGUACAAAACUUCCACGUUUGUACCGGAUUUUUAGAUGGGUUUUUUCCCUUUUUUUCCUCUGGAAAAGGAAUUUUGCAGUGGACAGUAAAUGCCAGUUUUGCACCAGCUCAGGGCAGGGAGGAGUGAUUGGUUUGGGGUCAUCUCUGAGCUGUGACUCAGCGCCUGGGCAGGGAAAUCAAGCGUCUUUUAUGCAGAAAUCACAAUAAAUUUCUGUGCUCAUUUGCAUUGAGGACCCUCAAAUCUGACUGAAAUGAUUAUUUCCCCCCUUCAACCCUCUCACUAAUUCCCAGUGACUCACCCUGUGGAUCCACACGUUCUCCCAGCUCCGAGGGGCAGAGCCAGGUCCCACCCGAGUGAAAUCCAGAGGGAUUUGGCUCCAGAGGGAAGAGCAGCCGGGUUUGGGAGCAGGGAGCGACUGCAGGAGCAGAGGGAGCUCAGUCCCCUCUUGCUCCUGACAGCGAAUCCCAGACUGGCUGGGGAAGGGAUCUGGGAAUUCUGCAGCAAGCACAAGAUCAGCAGCAGGUGAAGAGAAGAGAGGAGAGGGAGGAAGAUUUCAGCAAAGGCUGCCCAGCCCCGGAGGAAUUCCACCAGGAAGCGUCUUCCUCCUUUUCCUCCUCCUCUUCUUCCUUCUCCCAUCCCAAAUUCCACACUCGGGUGAGUGAAUUGGGGCAGGAUUUGUGCCUGACCCUGCUUUGUAAUCUCAAAAAAAGCCCCCAGGUCACUUCCCGGAGCUCUGGAGGUGCCAGGGGUGACCUGGGGACAGGUUCUGGGAUUUUGGGGUGAGGAGCAGAGGGACCCGAGUAAGGAGAUAGUUGCAAAAGGGAAGGGAGGAAAAGCAUCAAAUCCACGUGGAAUUCAGCAGCUAGAGGGGAAAAAAAUUGAGGUUCCUCCUAAGCCAAACGAUUCCAUGAUUUUAAUGUGUUGGGCUGGGAGAGUGUGGGAAUUAACCCCGCACAGGUGAUUUGUGCAGAUGUGGAAUUGUGGAAUUUCCCAGCUGGAAUUGCAAGGGGACAGCCUGGGAUAGGGAAUGACUGCUGUCCUUAAAGCGAUUUUUCAGCAAGAAAAAAUCAGGAAUUUUAGGAGGAAUUGAUUUAAACAGAGAAAGGGGAAAAUGAGCACAGGGGAGGGAGAUGGGAUGUGGCUGCUGGGGGUUGGUGCCUGGUUGCUUCCAGGCUGGAAAGCUGCUCCUCUCAUCAGGGAAAUGGUUUCCCUGAGGAUGGUUUC
rnacentral:lncRNA from 1 species